CGGACGCUGUGUGUAGGAGCCAAAGGAAGUGGGAAUAAAGGGUCAAAGCCAGUAGAGACAAGAACCCAUUUUCAGGCUGAACUGGGGCGGCCUGCACCGUGGGGAAUCGUGUGUUGGACGCCCGAGUGCAGAAGACACGGCUGGGGUCUCGCGGAACAAAAACUUUCCUAAGCCUCAGGUGCCUCCGGUGCGUCCUGGGAGUCAGCAGUCAGCACCUCAGCCGCAGGAAACUUUGCCCUGCCCGGAGGCUCUGGAUCUUCCCAGGGUUCACUGAUCACCCAGACCAGCUGACCUGUGGAACAGAACAGACCUAGAAGGUGGAGAGGAAGGAGACAGUAGCUAAGGCUCCAGACUUUUGGAGACCCAAAGGAGGAGAGCUGGACAGAGCAAAAUCUCCUAGGGUCAAGAGGAGAUCAGGAAGCUUUAAGGAAGCUGAUGGCUGUUUGAUCUGAUAAAAUUCUCUGUGCCCUUAAGAAUUGGGUUCAGCAGGUGGCAAGGUGCUGCUCCCUUGAAAUUACAGCUAGAAAAGUAAGGAAAACUUUGUCUGUCUGCUCUAAAUAUAUAAACAUGUGUGGCUACUACAUGUUUGGUCUUAAAUGCAUAAAUAUGUUCUCCAUGUCUUGGUUAUGGAUUAUUGGCUUCCAAGUUACUGGAUAUGGUUAAAAAUCUGUAAUAUCAGUAACAGAAAAAAACUGGUAACUCAAGAUUGGAGCCAUUCUGGACAACAACACAUGGCAUGAGCCAAUUCAUGGAAACAGGUCUCUAAAGAUACUUUUAAAUUGGGGUGAUAUUUUUAUGUAAUUUCUGUCCUAACCAGACUUAUAAAAGAUAGAAUUUAAAAAUAUUUAAUAAGAUAAUAAAGCUGCACCAUCAUACUUUCAUAUACAAGAACUUUUCUGGGAGUCAAACUUUGUAAACAUGAAAAUAAUGCACCUGGUAUUGAUUUUAGAGAUACUGCGUUGUUUACACGGUUAAAAACGGGUUUGUCUUCUAAAAUUAUGGUUACAUUGUUAGAAGCUGGUUUUGUCUUCCAAAAAUUAUAGUUCUGCUCUAUGACUUCAUUCUUUAAAAGCAUAGCUUAUUUGGAUAUUGUAGAAGGAAAUUUUAAAAAUUAGAGUUAAACAUAUAUAAAGCUAUGGGACAUUUUAAAAUUUAUUAAAUGUGUUAUUGGAAUGCCUUUGUUGGUAUAUGAUAGUUACACCAAAGGAGGAAAUUUUAAUAGAAACUGUCAUGACUUUAGAAAUUACAAUGGAAAGCAGUAAUCAAAUUAUGGAUCCACAAAUGGAGGCAAUUUUGGUGGAGAAAGCUCAGGCAGUUACUAUGAUGGUGGGAUGGAUCUCAUCGUGGAUAUGAUAACAGGUUUCAAAUAAAACAGAAACAGAAAUGGGCAAUAGUUCUUAGCUGGAAGAGAGAACAAGGAGAACAAGGAGUUGUCGGGAAAGCUGCAGGUUAUUUUGAGACAGUCACCACAAAUACAUUAGAGGAAUUGUAAAAAUCUGCCGUAGUCAGAAAGGUCACUGCAGCGGGAGACCCUGUUUUUUCAGGAGUGUCAUAGCCACCGUUGAAAAAAAAUAGUUAUUGAUUAAAAUAAUAACAAUUAGUUAUAUAUUCCUGAGGUCUUUUUAGUUGUUGUCAUUUCAUGUUUUUUCUUCUCAUUACAUCAGUUAUAUACUGUCCUGUAAAUUAUGGUAAUAAUAUCAGAAAUAAAAAUUAAGAAAUUUAAUUAAAAAAUGGAGAUUUACAAUAUUGAAAAGGUUAAAAAACAUUGGCUCUUGAUAUCUACCCUUCUUCACUUCAGUUUCUGCUUUGUUUUGUUUUGGCUAAGGCAAAGCAGCCUUCCUUCCUUCCAGCUGAACACAUAAAAGCUCUCUCACCCAUGAUACUUACAAUUUUUACUAACUUACUAGCCUCCUGCCCUGAGACUGGAUUCAGCUUAAACUAAAUCAUAUGGGAAACUGUUAUAUUCUAUGAUAAUAUACCAAAGUUCAGAAAAGUUUCUAGUCUCUGUAUGGAGUGUGUUUAUGGGUGAAUUUUUUUUUUUCAUUUUGACUCUAGAAGAGCUUCCAAAAAACCUGUAACUUUCUUGUUUCUUUAAUUUAAUUUAAUUUUUUUUCUUUUUCACUUUACAUCCUGCUCACUGCCCCCGCUCAGCCACACCCUCCCACAAUCCUUGCCCCAUUCAGCUCCCUUCUUGUCUGAGCAGGUGAGGGCCUCCCUGGAUAUCCCCACCCUGGCAUGCCACAUCUGUGAGGCUAGGCACUUCCCUGAGACCAGACAAGGCAGCCAGCUAGACGAACAUAUCCCACAUACAGGCAACAGCUUUUGCGACAGCCUCUGUUCCUCAGGAAGGCCCACAUGAAAACCAAGCUGCACAUCUGCUACAUAUGUAUGGAGAGGCUUAGGUCCAGCCUGUGUAUGUACUUUGGUUGGUGGUUCAGACUCUGAGAUUCCCCAAGGGUCCAGGUUCGUUGACUCCUGUUGGUGUUGCUGUGGGAUUCCUAUCCGCUUCAAGGCUCAGAAUCCUUCCUCCUAUUCUUCCAUAAGAGUCCCCAGCUCCAUCCACUCUCUGGGUGUCUGAAUCAGUCUGAGUCAGCUGCUGGGUGGAGCCUCUCAGAGGACAGCAUGCUCCUGUCUGCAAGCAUCACAGACUAUCAUUAAUAGUGUCAGAGAUUGGUGCUUGCUUAUGGAAUAGGUCUCCAGUUGGGCCAGUUAUUGGUUGGCCAUUCCCUCAGUCUUUGAUCCAUCUCCCAUGACUGCAUUUCUUGUAGAAGGAUAAAUUUUGGGUUGCAAGUUUUGUGAGUUGGUUGGUAUCUCUAUGUCUCUCUACUGGUGGUUUCUGCCUGGAUACAGAAGGUGCUCUCUUCUAGGUCUAUAUCCCCAGUGUUGUGAGUCACAGCUAAGUCACCCCAUUUCAUUCUUGGGUGCCUUCCUUAUCCCAGAGAUAUUCCUCUGUCACAUCCUGGAGAUGCCCCCCCCCCCACUUCUCACCUGUCAGUUAUAGAUUUCUAUCCAUUCUCACGACCAUCUGGCCAUAUCUACUGUCCCUUUCUAUAC